AUUCUCAUGAUGUAAUGGUCAGAACACUGGACUCUGAAUCCAGAAGUCCCACUUCGAGUCUGGGUGAGACUG
rnacentral:tRNA from 1 species